rnacentral:rRNA from 1 species
AUUGAACGCUGGCGGCAGGCCUAAAACAUGCAAGUCGAACGAGAGGCGGACGGGUGAGUAAUGUUUGGGGAACUGCCCGAUAGAGGGGGAUCACUCCUGGAAAAGGUGGCUAAUAACGCUCAAUAUAGGAUGAACGCAUAUGGGAUUAGAUAGUUGGUGAGGUAAUGGCUCACCAAGGCGACGAUCCCUCGAUGGUCUGAGAGGGUGAUCAGCCACACUGGGACGGAGAAACGGCCCAGACUCCUACGGGAGGCAGCAGUGGGGAAUAUUGCACAAUGGACGAAAGCCUGAUGCAGCCAUGCCGCGUGUAUGAAGAAGGCCCUAGGGUUGUAAAGUACUGUCAGUGGGGAGGCGUUACCUACAGAAGAAGCACCGGCUAACUCCGUGCCAGCAGCCGCGGUAAUUC